UAAAAGUUGAUUCGUAGGUUUCCAUGUCUAAUUUUUAACUGUCUAUUUUAUAUGAAAUUUUUUUAAUUAAUAUUUUUAUUUUUAUUAGAUGAUAAAAUAUGAAUGGUAGUACUUUAUACGGAACUUAUGUUUUCAAAUUUUUUCAUAUUUUUUUAAAUAAAACGGACGAUUAAAGUUUGUAUACGGAAACACACGAAUCAAUUUAUU
rnacentral:pre_miRNA from 1 species